AUUAGAUCUUUUUGUGUUUGUUUCUCUCUCUCUCUCUCUCAUGCGUCAUUACUUUCUUCUUCUUCUUCUUUCUUUCUUUGUCUAUCCGUCUCUCUCUCAGAAACAAACAACGACGAGAUUCAAGACCAAGGUUUGGAUCUGAAGAAGCAUGGCUCUCAUCACCGACGCCGGAUCGAAGAAGCAUAUCUCGAUACGAGAAGAUAAAUGGCUCACGAUUCAACUUCCGUUUCUCGCAAGCUCAUUUGGCUGACAACGAAGCCCAGAGAUGAGCCGUUUUGAUUAGGGCGAGAUAAGCUUCUCCGUCGUUUUCUCAGAUCCGUCUUCACCGGAAUAUAUCUUCACCAGAGUCUCUACCAUCACCACCACCACGGAAGGUGGACAAGGAAGAAGAGCUUGAUGGAGUAGGAGGGUAGCAGAAGCGGUGGGUCGUUAGCUGAAGGUACAUUAGCUGGAGUUGGAGUCUAGCGAGAGAGAAGAGAGGAGCUGGAGUUUGUUCAGAGACGAGGGAGGAGAGAUAGAUGAGAAGCACUAGAGAUGAGCUUGAUGGUGGCAGAAGAGAAGAGCUUGAUGGAUAUAGUUCAGAGGCAAUGUUAAGGUUUGCUGGUGGCUGUUCAAAGACGAUGAAGUAGAAGAAGAAGAAAUCGAUGGAGUUGAAGUUGACGGCAAAGAGUUUAGCUGUAGGGUUAAUUUUGUUUUUCGGUUAAGCUUUUUAGGUUUAGAUUUCUAGGUGGUGGUGCGGCAGAGAAGAUUGGUGGUCAAGGCGAUAGCUUGAGUAGGUGGAAGACAACGAGGACGUAGGUUAAUGACGUUUAGGAUUGAUUAGUUUUUUAAUUAGUUUUUGUUGUAAUUAAGGUUUAAUUUUUUUUAUUAAUUUGUUUUAAAUCUGUAAACUGAUUUUAAUUGUAAAACAAUCUAAUUGUAAACCAGUUUAAUUUAUAAAUAAAAUUCUAAAACAGUUUUAAUUUC